rnacentral:miRNA from 1 species
GCAUGCGAGGAGCCAUGCAUG